GACGAACGCUGGCGGCGUGCUUAACACAUGCAAGUCGAACGAUGAAGCCGGAGCUUGCUCCGGUGGAUUAGUGGCGAACGGGUGAGUAACACGUGAGCAAUCUGCCCUUGACUCUGGGAUAACUGCGGGAAACCGUAGCUAAUACCGGAUACGACACCUUGGGGCAUCCCAGGGUGUGGAAAGAAUUUCGGUCAAGGAUGAGCUCGCGGCCUAUCAGCUAGUUGGUGAGGUAAUGGCUCACCAAGGCGACGACGGGUAGCCGGCCUGAGAGGGUGACCGGCCACACUGGAACUGAGACACGGUCCAGACUCCUACGGGAGGCAGCAGUGGGGAAUAUUGCACAAUGGGCGAAAGCCUGAUGCAGCAACGCCGCGUGAGGGAUGAAGGCCUUCGGGUUGUAAACCUCUUUUAGCAGGGAAGAAGCGAAAGUGACGGUACCUGCAGAAAAAGCACCGGCUAACUACGUGCCAGCAGCCGCGGUAA
rnacentral:rRNA from 1 species